UUACAAUAGCACAUGAUUUUGGUAUUUUUAUCUUUGGGACAAAUUUUGGAUUCAAUUGGCGAUUGUUUUUGGAGGUAUUCACUUCACAUUGUGUUCAAGAUGCUUACUUCCGCCCACUCUGAAGAGUCUCGGCGUCUGAUUGGUCCAAUUUUCAGUUAGGCGCUGCCUGAUUGGCCAGUGGAUGAUGUCUGCUCCUAACAGAGGGCUAAAUCACUAGUCAACUAUUUUCAUCUUGGAAGUUAUACAGCUCACGUAUCACACUUAAUAUUGAAUAUAUAUAAAAAGGGUUUUCCAAAAGGACCAUUUAUAAUCGAAAUACAAAACUUCACACACGAUUUUGAGCACAACAGAGCGCUCAGUGAACAGCACUUCCGGGACGUGCAGCACCAGAGGGGGACAUCUAUCUUGGCCACAAACCAUCUUUGACAGUCUUCGGCAGCAUGGUUGAAUCAGGUGAGCAUAAAAUGGAGUUUAACGUAAUUAAAUAGACCAAUGUUUUUUAACAUAGGAAAAUAGUUCAUUAUAAAGAACAGUAAAAUGUUUUUUGUUAUUAAUUGCAACCAGAUUUGAUUUUAUGAGGUUAAAUAAAGAAUUUCAGUUCUGGGCCAAGGCCAAAAGGCAUUUAAUUUUUUUUUUUUUAAAGUUGCAUGGAAGAUUAUAAGUAGCAGUGAUUGGCACACACACACUAGGUGUGGUGAAAUUAUUCUCUGCAUUUGACCCAUCACCCUUGAUCACUAUGCAAGUAAACCUUGUCUUAAUUUUAAACAAGACAUACUAGAGUUCUUCAUUUUGUUUAUACUUUUUCUCAAAUACAAAUAUUUCAAGCUGAUAAGCACUGUGGAGUUGGCAUGUUACUGAUAUUGUUACAUUAGUUCUUUGUUUGAGAAGCUUCAUGUCUGCAUUGAGCCUAAAUUUAACAGUUUUUGAAGGGUUUAGUUCUUUGUUUUAUUUCUGUGUCACUGACUUUUUUCAUUUUUAUGUGUGGAUUUGUUAGGCGCAUCAACACAUGAUAUAGACAUCGUGCCCAAAAGAAGAGCGAGAUCUAAUCCUGAGGCUGAAGCCACCGAGUUUAUGUGAUCUGGAUGUGACAAGUCUUGUUUUAAGGCCCAGUGGAUCAAUGAUUGGAAAGACACCAACUGUUGAUGUUCUAUGUCAACAUUCUCCAGAUUCAUGUGAGCGAUAAACCGACUUCAUCCCUCCAACAGACACCAACUGUUGGGGUUCUAUCUCAACAUUCUCCAGAUUCAGAUGUGAGCGAUAAACCGACUUCAUCCCUCCAACAGAAACCAACUGUUGAGGUUCCAUCUCAACAUUCUCCAGAUUCUGAUGUGAGCCAUUAACUGACUUCAUCCCUCCAACAGAAACCAACUGUUGAGGUUCUAUCUCAACAUUCUCUAAAUUCAGAUGACAGCCAUAAACCGACUUCAUCCCUCCAACAGAUUGACAGCAGGACAAAUCGCUGGAAGUGGGUAUGUCUCAAGCUUCUUCCACUUGGUCCACUCCAAAGCGGGGUAAAUAAAUAAUCCACAUCAUUUACUAGAAUAUUAUAUUACGUUUUGCACCUUUUCACUGUGUUAUAGUCCUUAUUCCUUCAGUAAGAAAUUGUAUUUUGUCUCCUUUAUGACAACUGCAAAGGGGAAGAAGUGGAAGCAGUUGAAUGACACAUGUUGCAUUUUGUAACUGGCAACAAAGUACCAGGUAAAAAAGAUUGUGAAGCCUGCCUCCAUAAAGAACUAGUAGCUCUACAGGACAGAGAUUGGCUUGCCAUCAAGUACUACAUCCAUAACAGAAUUAUAUUAAAAAAAGGGAAAAAAAAUGUUUUCCCACAUCUUCUGUGGUAGUUUGAGUAUGUUACCAGCAAUUAAAAAAGCAAAAUAAACA